GCAGAGCCCAGACGAAUAAGCCUCAAUUCGUUUUAGGGCCUCGUUAAGUAAACAAAUUUUUUAUAUAUGUGUGAAUAUUUGUAAAAGUUUUGGGAACUGUUGGAGCUUUUCGUUUAAUUUACAAAUAUACAACUGCGAAAGCUUCAGAUCUGAACUAAAUAGUUUCUUGGAAAGCCAAUUAGUUGUCGUGACUUAAUAUCCCCUAGUAUCUAUUUCUGUGAAGUUAUAGUAAAAUCUCUAUCAAGAUGUGUUGCGGACCUUGCGGUGGUUGCUGUGGACCCUGCGGCGGUUGCUGCGGACCUUGCUACUCCUGCUGCGGACCCUGCUACUCCUGCUGCGGUCCGUGUUACUCCUGCUGUGGCGGUUGCUGUGGUGGCUGUGGACCCUGCUGUUGACAAAAACCAGAACUAACCUCAGUGCGAAAGCGACCAGUUCAGAAGUAAUUAGGAAAAUGUUUCAACAAACCCAUUGUAAAUUUCGGUAUUCGUAAAUAUAAAAUAAAACAGGUCGAAUACAAA